rnacentral:lncRNA from 1 species
UAUUACAAGGAUUGUUCCGAAAGUAGGUUUCGUCAUUUUUUUGAAAGAGAAGAUGGUACACCAGUUGAAACAAAUAAUCGCCAUAAGAAUCCACAUCCGUUGUUGGUUCAACGAUGGAAGGAGCAUCAGCAGAGGAGGAAUGACACGUGUAGAGUGCUGAAGAAGAGAGAAUAGCAGCAGACAGGUAUGCCCGAGGUUAUUCAAGUACAAAUCACAAUGGCAGACAGAUAUGUAUUGACAAUGUGGACACCAAUGGAAGUUCAUGUUGUUAUCUGGUAUGAAUGUGCAUGUGGGACUAGUGUGUUUGUCAUCCACAAAUGCCUACAGACCAUGUAUGAUGAAGAGGUCAUGUCUUGUCAAAUGGUUGGUUGCUGGUGUUGCAUGAAGAAAGGCAAUGU